AUUCCAGCUCCAAUAGCGUAUAUUAAAGUUGUUGCAGUUAAAACGCUCGUAGUCGGAUUUCGGGGCCUGCCUGCCGGUCUGCCGAUGGGUAUGCACUGGCAGGCGCGUCCUUCCUUCCGGAGACUGUCCCUACUCUUAACUGAGCGGGGUCGGGAGACGGAUCGUUUACUUUGAAAAAAUCAGAGUGUUUCAAGCAGGCAGCUCGCUCUUGCAUGGAUUAGCAUGGGAUAAUGAAAUAGGACUUUGGUGCUAUUUUGUUGGUUUCGAACACCGAAGUAAUGAUUAACAGGGACAGUCAGGGGCACUCGUAUUCCGCCGAGAGAGGUGAAAUUCUCAGACCAGCGGAAGACGAACCACUGCGAAAGCAUUUGCCAGGGAUGUUUUCAUCG
rnacentral:rRNA from 1 species